AAUGCAGGGAGAGUGUUUGCUAACUCGGACGACACUGCCUGCCUGCUGGGGAUGCGUCGCAGAGCUCUGGUCUUUCAACCUGUUUCUCAGAUACGAGACGAGACCGACUUUGUCCACAGGAUCCCAAAGGAGCAGUGGUGGCUGAAGCUCCGUCCUCUGAUGAAGAUCUUGGCCAAGUACAAGACGAGCUACGACGUGUCCGACUCCGGCCAGCUGGAACACGUGACCCGGUUCCGGACCAAAGAGAGCAACACCUCGGCGACCAUCUGAGCUGCUGCUGCUGCUGCUGCUGCUGCCGCCAGCAGAGCUUUACUCCAACAGGAAAGCAGCUUCACGUAACGGUGACUGCUACUCACACAAUGACUGAUCGACCGCUGAUUGACUACUAACACGAUAAGGUAGAUUUUAAAAGGUAGUAGGUAAUUUUUAAAAAAAGAAAUAAAAAGUUAUAUUGUACGGUUUCAGUCACGGCACUUUUCCAGAGGGGAUCUUCUGUAUUUUAGAUCAUGAUGUUAAAUUUGAGGAUGUGAUUUGGAAUAUAACUGUAAUUUAAAGAAGCUAGCAGCGCAAACAUUUUAUUUUCAAAUCCCCCAAAAGUUAUUAUAUAUACCUAGUAUAAAUAUAUAUAAAAGCACUCCUUAUUAUGUACUGUAUAAGUGUUUUAGUCCAAAACAUGUAGCCAUAUCUAGUUUUUUUAAAGUCACCGAGCCAAGUGAAGGUCUGGGUGAUUUGUUUAGCAGUGGUCACUUUUAUUUUCUACAGCACUUUGAGCCCCAUAACUCCUGUAAACCCAUGAGGCUGCUUAUAAAGAGGGAAUAUAUGCCAGGAGGGCCACUUGCUUUCUGUCUAGAGCCUGUUCACACCUUGAAAAAUGUGUAGUGAGGCUUUAGGACGAUGCCAUUUGUGUGUCCUGUCACCUGCUAGCUGUGCGUAAGAGCGUGUGUUGUGUCGUUGCCUUUGCCGUUUGUAUCCACCCCGGGCUUUGUAUGUGACAUCUUUAUAGUGGUUGUUUGUGAGUAGAGUCCUGCCAGUUGUUGAAACUACGCAAUAGUGACGUUCUGUGCUGGCAGCGUGAUGUGAGCGUCCUGUCAGAGUAAUAAAGCAUUUAUUGUGUGAAAACAGUGA